rnacentral:rRNA from 1 species
AGUGAACGCUGGCGGUAGGCCUAACACAUGCAAGUCGAACGGCAGCACAGUAAGAGCUUGCUCUUACGGGUGGCGAGUGGCGGACGGGUGAGGAAUACAUCGGAAUCUACUUUUUCGUGGGGGAUAACGUAGGGAAACUUACGCUAAUACCGCAUACGACCUACGGGUGAAAGCAGGGGAUCUUCGGACCUUGCGCGAUUGAAUGAGCCGAUGUCGGAUUAGCUAGUUGGCGGAGUAAAGGUCCACCAAGGCGACGAUCCGUAGCUGGUCUGAGAGGAUGAUCAGCCACACUGGAACUGAGACACGGUCCAGACUCCUACGGGAGGCAGCAGUGGGGAAUAUUGGACAAUGGGCGCAAGCCUGAUCCAGCCAUACCGCGUGGGUGAAGAAGGCCUUCGGGUUGUAAAGCCCUUUUGUUGGGAAAGAAAAGCAGCAGGUUAAUACCCCGCUGUUCUGACGGUACCCAAAGAAUAAGCACCGGCUAACUUCGUG